GAUGAACGCUAGCGGAAGGCCUAAUACAUGCAAGUCGAACGGGCAUAUUGAUUUCGGUUAAUAUGUUAGUGGCGGACGGGUGAGUAACGCGUGGGCAACCUGCCCCUGAGCCCGGGAUAACAGUUCGAAAGGACUGCUAAGACCGGAUAUACUUGCGGGGAAGCAUUUCUCUGUAAGGAAAGGGAACGCUCAGGGAUGGGCCCGCGUCCCAUUAGCUAGUUGGUGAGGUAACGGCCCACCAAGGCGACGAUGGGUAGCCGGCCUGAGAGGGUGAACGGCCACACUGGGACUGAGACACGGCCCAGACUCCUACGGGAGGCAGCAGUUGGGAAUCUUCGGCAAUGGGCGCAAGCCUGACCGAGCAACGCCGCGUGAGUGAUGAAGGUUUUCGGAUUGUAAAGCUCUGUCUUCCGGGACGAUAAUGACGGUACCGGAGGAGGAAGCCACGGCUAACUACGUG
rnacentral:rRNA from 1 species